AUGGACGACGCCAAGCCACGGCACCUUGGCGGCUCGCUGCCCGUGCCCAACGUGCAGGACCUCGCCGCCCGGCGUGACGAGCUCACGCUCACGCCCACCCUCCUCGACCGCUACGUGCGGCCUCAGCCCAACACGGUCGACCUGCGUCCCGACGCCCCUGCCGGCGAAGAACAGGAGCAGGUCCCCAUCGUCGACCUCGGCCGGCUCCUCGACCUCGCCGGCGGAGGGGAGGAGGAGGCCGCCAGGCUGCGGUCGGCCUGCGAGAAGUGGGGCUUCUUCCAGGUGGUGAACCACGGGAUACCCGAGGAGACCGUGGAGGAGAUGAAGAGGAACGUCAUGGGAUUCUUCGCGCUCCCGCUGGCGGAGAAGGCGGCCCUCGCGCAGGAGCCCGGAGAGAUCGAGGGGAAUUGUUUGGCGAACUACUCAGUGGAGGUGCAAAGGGUAGCAGGCGAGCUGCUGCGAGCCAUGGCGGAGAACCUGGGCGUGAGGGACCACUCGGACAUGACGAGGCUGGCCGCGUCGCAGGCGGUGAGGAUGAACUACUACCCGCCUUGCCCGGAGGCGCACGUGGACAGGGUGCUGGGCCUCUCACCGCACUCGGAUGCCGUCGCGCUGACGCUGCUGCUGCAGGUCUGCCCAGUCCCCGGGCUGCAGAUCAAUAGGAACGCCGGCUGGGUCCCGGUCAUGCCGCUCCCCAGUGCCCUCGUCGUCAACGUCGGCGAUGUGGUUGAGGUGCUGACCAACGGGAAGUACAAGAGCGUCGAGCACAGGGCGGUGGAUAACGCACGCGAGCAUCGGAUGUCCAUCACGGCGUUCCAUAGCGCCAAGUUCGGCGGCACGUACGGGCCGCUGGAGGAGGUCGUGGGAGACGAGGAGGCCCGGUACAGGACUAUCAACGUCAAUGAGUACACCAAGCUUAUGCUCUCCGGCAAGCUAGACGGUAAGAACAUCAUAGACGCAAUGAAGAUCAAUUGA
rnacentral:rRNA from 1 species